UGGGACCUUAUAACCAUAAUUCCCUUGUAGGAGGGUUCGGCAGGAGAAAGAAAGAGGAAAAGAAAGGAAAGGAAGGAGAAGAAGAAAGAAAGAAAAAAAAUGUAUGUAUUUUAGUAAUUAAUGUUUUUUUUUUAAUUUGAAGGGAUUAAUUAUUUUGUUAUGUUGUUUUUUUUGUUAUUAAUUAUUAUAAAUUGUUUGUGUUUAGUUUAGUGUUUUGUGAUUUCUUAUGAAUGUAAUUUUUUUAAAAUUAAUUUAUAGUUAUUUUGUUAGUAAUUUAUGAUUAG
rnacentral:lncRNA from 1 species